rnacentral:rRNA from 1 species
CCUACGGGCGGCUGCAGUGGGGAAUAUCGCACAAUGGGCGCAAGCCUGAUGCAGCCAUGCCGCGUGUGUGAAGAAGGCCUUCGGGUUGUAAAGCACUUUCAGCGGGGAGGAAGGCGUUAAGGUUAAUAACCUUGUCGAUUGACGUUACCCGCAGAAGAAGCACCGGCUAACUCCGUGCCAGCAGCCGCGGUAAUACGGAGGGUGCAAGCGUUAAUCGGAAUUACUGGGCGUAAAGCGCACGCAGGCGGUCUGUCAAGUCGGAUGUGAAAUCCCCGGGCUCAACCUGGGAACUGCAUUCGAAACUGGCAGGCUAGAGUCUUGUAGAGGGGGGUAGAAUUCCAGGUGUAGCGGUGAAAUGCGUAGAGAUCUGGAGGAAUACCGGUGGCGAAGGCGGCCCCCUGGACAAAGACUGACGCUCAGGUGCGAAAGCGUGGGGAGCAAACAGGAUUAGAUACCCUUGUAGUC